GAUUUGUGCCAUGAGGACUAGAAACCUGGAAACCUACGUUUCCCAGCUACUCCAUCUCCCCACACCGCAGGCUUUCUGUUAUGUUCUGAUGAUGAACUACUGCAGGAACAUAUCAGGAAAGCCAAGAGAAUCCACAGACCCUUUGAAGGAACUGUACCACCCCUGCAGACUCCCUGAGAUGCCAAAAACUGUGAAUCUGCUUGCUUUCUCAACUGGGAGGCUCAUGGUCUGGGCUUAACUCCCACUUAUAAGUGAAAAUACGUAAUGGUCUCCAACUCCAUCCAGGUGUCUGUGAAUGCCAUUAUUUCAUUCCUUUAUAUAGGUUCCCCAGUGAGGAUUGUCAGGCCUCUGAGCCCAAGCUAAGCCAUCAUAUCCCCUGUGACCUGCACGUAUACAUCCAGAUGGCCUGAAGCAACUGAAGAUCCACAGAAGAAGUGAAAAUAGCCAGUUCCUGCCUUAACUGAUGACAUUCCACCAUUGUAAUUUGUUCCUGCCCCACCCUAACUGAUCAAUUGACUUUGUGACAAUACACCCUCCCUACCCUUGCGGUAAUGUAAUUUGUGAUAUUCCCUCACCCUUGUGAAGGUACUUUGUACUAUACACCCUCCCCACCCUUGAGAAGGUACUUUGUAAUAUUCUCCCCUGCCCUUAGGAAUGUACUUUGUAAGAUCCACCCCCUGCCCACAAAAAAUUGCUCCUAACUCCACCGCCUAUCCCAAACCUGUAAGAACUAAUGAUAAUCCCACC
rnacentral:lncRNA from 1 species